AGAGUUUGAUCCUGGCUCAGGACGAACGCUGGCGGCGCGCCUAACACAUGCAAGUCGAACGAGCGAGAGAGAGCUUGCUUUCUCAAGCGAGUGGCGAACGGGUGAGUAACGCGUGAGGAACCUGCCUCAAAGAGGGGGACAACAGUUGGAAACGACUGCUAAUACCGCAUAAGCCCACGGCUCGGCAUCGAGCAGAGGGAAAAGGAGCAAUCCGCUUUGAGAUGGCCUCGCGUCCGAUUAGCUAGUUGGUGAGGUAACGGCCCACCAAGGCGACGAUCGGUAGCCGGACUGAGAGGUUGAACGGCCACAUUGGGACUGAGACACGGCCCAGACUCCUACGGGAGGCAGCAGUGGGGAAUAUUGCACAAUGGGGGAAACCCUGAUGCAGCGACGCCGCGUGGAGGAAGAAGGUCUUCGGAUUGUAAACUCCUGUUGUUGAGGAAGAUAAUGACGGUACUCAACAAGGAAGUGACGGCUAACUACGUGCCAGCAGCCGCGGUAAAACGUAGGUCACAAGCGUUGUCCGGAAUUACUGGGUGUAAAGGGAGCGCAGGCGGGAGAACAAGUUGGAAGUGAAAUCCAUGGGCUCAACCCAUGAACUGCUUUCAAAACUGUUUUUCUUGAGUAGUGCAGAGGUAGGCGGAAUUCCCGGUGUAGCGGUGGAAUGCGUAGAUAUCGGGAGGAACACCAGUGGCGAAGGCGGCCUACUGGGCACCAACUGACGCUGAGGCUCGAAAGUGUGGGUAGCAAACAGGAUUAGAUACCCUGGUAGUCCACACCGUAAACGAUGAUUACUAGGUGUUGGAGGAUUGACCCCUUCAGUGCCGCAGUUAACACAAUAAGUAAUCCACCUGGGGAGUACGACCGCAAGGUUGAAACUCAAAGGAAUUGACGGGGGCCCGCACAAGCAGUGGAGUAUGUGGUUUAAUUCGACGCAACGCGAAGAACCUUACCAAGUCUUGACAUCCUGCGACGGUGCUGGAAACAGUACUUUCCUUCGGGACGCAGAGACAGGUGGUGCAUGGUUGUCGUCAGCUCGUGUCGUGAGAUGUUGGGUUAAGU
rnacentral:rRNA from 1 species